GGUUUUUUCUUUGGGUAGCGAUUGCAUGCGUAUGGCUCCAAAACCGGAGGUAGCAGCAGAUCAGUGGAUCACGCCCGUUUCCUCACUCUCUCUCUCUCUCUCUCUUUCUGUCCCUUCCUUCGUCUUCGAUAUACCCAGCAAGAGCAAGCGGAGCUCCCCACGAAUAGCGGACGAUUCAUGGCAUAUUCGUGGCUCACAUCAGCUCAAAUCUGACGAGCGCCUUCCUCCUCCCGUGCUCCGCCUUGUUCUUCACGGCAUCUCUAAGCUAUCAUUCAAAAGGACCCGGCUUCGUCCAGAUUAUUGACCAGUGGGGUCGUUCAUCAUAACCAUCACAUCGUCAUCAUUGCUUGCUGACGGGUUGGCUUAUCCUUGUGUUUUUCUGUUUUCUUCUAAGUUUCAGCCUGUGCCAGGAUUUGAAGUAUGUCUUUUAAAAAGUUACGGGCAAGUGGAGCAGAGAAAAGUCUGUCCUUCGAGGAGCAACAGACCAAGGUCAAUGAAGUCAGAAAGAUUUUGGGGCCUAUUGCUGAUAAGCUUCCAACACUAUGUUCAGAUGCAUCAAUCAUAAGGUACCUCAAAGCAAGAAACUGGAACACGAAGAAGGCGGCCAAGAUGGUGAAAGAAACAUUGAAAUGGAGACUGGUUUACAAGCCAGAAAAAAUUAGAUGGGAAGACAUCGCUCGUGAAGCUGAGACAGGUAAAAUCUACAGGGCCAAUUACUUCGACAAGAAUGGAAGGACUGUUCUUGUCAUGAGACCGGGUUUUCAGAAUACAACCGCAACAGAGGGGCAGAUUAAGUAUUUGGUUUAUUGUAUGGAAAACGCAAUUACGAAUUUAAAGCCAAGUCAGGAACAAAUGGUGUGGCUAAUUGAUUUUCAAGGAUGGAACAUGUCAAGCAUAUCAGUGAAGGUGACUCGGGAGACGGCACAUAUAUUGCAGGAUUAUUAUCCUGAGAGACUGGGCAUUGGAAUCCUCUAUAAUCCACCCAAAAUAUUUGAGUCCUUUUGGAAGAUAGUGAAACCAUUCCUCGAGACCAAGACAUUCAAGAAGGUCAAGUUUGUCUACUCAGAUGAUCCACAAAGCCAAAAGAUAAUGGAAGAGCUAUUUGAUAGGGAUGAGCUGGAAUCUGCAUUUGGGGGCAAAAACCCUGCCGGUUUCAACUAUGAGACCUAUGCGCAACAGAUGAGAGAGGAAGAAAAGGAAAUGUCCUAUUUAGUCUCUGAUUCCGUCUCUGAUUCUUCUCUACCAACCUAUCUAUCCCCAGCUGAGUCUGAAAUACACCAGGAAGACACAUCCAUUUCAGACCCUGAUUCCGAGCCCUCUGAAGAAGGAGGCCAUUCACCGAGUCAUGAGAUGGCUUCUCUAAAUUUAGAGGAGGGUGUGAACAAAGCAGCGGUCACGCUACCUGUCAGUAAUGACCCGGGACACAGUCAAUCAGAAGCAGCCAAAGAGGUAUACCGGAAGGAUCCAGCAUGAGUAUCUAUGGUUGUUUUACUCAUUUAUUUUGUUGUCCUCUAUCAUCCAUUAGGCCUAUCGUGCAUCAGUGACGAACACCUCAAUCAGUGGACAAAUGUCCAACAGUAGAACCGAAUUCUGAAAGACCUCAUUUACAUUUGUCGUCAGAAAAAUCUAUAACCUGUUCAUUUUCCGAAUUAGAAGAUGCUGGGACUGUAUUGUGCCACUCUCGCAUUAUCUCAGACACCCAGCCUGGUUUUGGAGAAGCAUCAACCAAUAUGGAAGAUGUUGAAGAUUAGAAACCGCCACCUUGUGCCAAGCACGUCCCUUUUGCCUUGGCCUGGAAGUAACCACCCCAAUAUAACUAGCUAUUUCUCUGAGAAGUGAUGCUAACCAUGUGAUUUUGCUACGCCUGUUACUUAAAGAUUGCGAUAUAAACAGACAGAUCGUUCAUUGGUAAAAUGCCUCCCAUAAGGUGGUCACGGAAAGGAACCCAAAUAGAAAAGUACAGCUUUGCUGAAGCUUAUCGAGAUUGGGGACCUCGACACUUCUAACCGGAAAAUUUGAUUGAUUUGCUAUACUUGUUCUGCUAUAAUUCCUUGUCGAACCUUGGAAAAGAAUCUCGGAAAUGUUUCGUCUCCCUUCGCU